rnacentral:rRNA from 1 species
GAUGAACGCUGGCGGCGUGCCUAAUACAUGCAAGUCGAGCGAACGGACGAGAAGCUUGCUUCUCUGGUGUUAGCGGCGGACGGGUGAGUAACACGUGGAUAACCUACCUAUAAGACUGGGAUAACUUCGGGAAACCGGAGCUAAUACCGGAUGAUAUUUUGAACCGCAUGGUUCAAAAGUGAAAGACGGUCUUGCUGUCACUUAUAGAUGGAUCCGCGCUGCAUUAGCUAGUUGGUAAGGUAACGGCUUACCAAGGCAACGAUGCAUAGCCGACCUGAGAGGGUGAUCGGCCACACUGGAACUGAGACACGGUCCAGACUCCUACGGGAGGCAGCAGUAGGGAAUCUUCCGCAAUGGGCGAAAGCCUGACGGAGCAACGCCGCGUGAGUGAUGAAGGUCUUCGGAUCGUAAAACUCUGUUAUUAGGGAAGAACAUAUGUGUAAGUAACUGUGCACAUCUUGACGGUACCUAAUCAGAAAGCCACGGCUAACUACGUG